UACGUAGGGUGCGAGCGUUGCCCGGAUUUAUUGGGCGUAAAGGGCUCGUAGGCGGUUUGUCGCGUCGGGAGUGAAAUCACUGGGCUUAACCGAGUGCUUGCUUUCGAUACGGGCAGACUUGAGGCAUUGAGGGGAGAACGGAAUUCCUGGUGUAGCGGUGAAAUGCGCAGAUAUCAGGAGGAACACCGGUGGCGAAGGCGGUUCUCUGGCAAUGUUCUGACGCUGAGGAGCGAAAGUGUGGGGAGCGAACAGG
rnacentral:rRNA from 1 species